rnacentral:lncRNA from 1 species
UGGCCAGGUCUGGCCCAGAAAAAAUGAAUUGUUGAAGAGAAAUAAGCUCAACUAUUUCCUUUCCUUCUCUAAGAGCAGAGAUUCCAAAUAAGAUCAUGCACACAAAGUACUUGGUAUGGCACCCAGCACAUAGUAGGUGUUAUCUUGGGGGGGAGAGACAAUCAUGUCAACAUCUAUAUUUGGGGACAACAUCUUUGGAGACAGCUAGGCUUACCAAGGGGGAGAACCAGGGCAGACAGGUCAGAGGAGGCAAAGGAGGUAACUGCUGAUGUCACAAUGCCUCUAUUUACACAACACCUGCUUCUUGAACCACCUCAGGGCCCAACAAGAGGAUGGCGGGGUGGAGUAAACAGAGGACCAAGAGGGACAUGGGACUGAGAGCCCUGGGGACAUCAGGAGACAAGAAAUAAACACCAAGCAGCAGAGAAGGCUUGAUAGCCAAGGAAGGAUGGGGAAUCACAGAGAGCUCUCAGAAUGAUGAGUGGCUGGGUGAAAAUUCCCAUGGAACCCCUUAAUGACUGGCUCCAUGAAGUCUUGGUGAAGCUCCAGCCUCUGAGAAGGUGCCUGUUGGCCUCUUGGUCAGAAGAGCCCAUGUCACGUCAAGCAGGACAUGAAGAAGAUGGUGACCUUGAAAUUCAUACUAUUCUGGACACUGUGCUCUUGGACCCUAGAAACCUACCCCUCAGCCCCUUUGAUACUUAUGGUCCAGGUUUGCCAGGCCCUGAUCUCCUGCCUCAGUGAUAUCCCUUCACUUUGGCUAUACUCUGCUAGAAGUGAAAUUACUACAUAUGGCUCAUCAUUUCACAGGAUGACCAGCAGGAAGUGAGAUCCUUGGAACAUCAUGAAGUAUGCUUAUCACAGGCCUCAUGGCCUCAGUUGCUGUUGAGCCUUUGUUUAGCCUGUGGGCACUGUCCGCAGCAGUUCUGAGAAAUCAUGAGUUGUGAAGGGCAGAGGGAGAUGAUUUCUAUAUACUUACUCCUCCUGGGAAAAGGAUUCCUUUGUUGGCACAGCAUUCCAAAGGGGCAAAUAAUUCUGAGUUCCUAAAUUAGUUACACUUAACCUCCACCUAUUCCACUUUCACUUUAAGGAAGACACCAUCAAUUCGAGCCAUCUGCUGUCUGUGGUGUCUUUGUCACUCUCUAAAAAACAUGGCACUUCUGCUCUCUCUGGAGUUCAUCUCUUCCUUACCCUGGAUAGCAAUGUUGUUUACCUUUCCUGUUACCAAAACAAGCUCAGACCAUGAAUCAGAGAAUAAAAUUUAUAUCAAUAGUUCAGAGUUCUUGGUCUUCACUAUGAAACCUGACAGUUGUAAAGCUCUUUAUGGAUCAUAAAAUACGUUCACACCCACAUUAAUUGGACCAUCAUCUUGUCCCAUGAGGCAAGAUGUUAUCCAUCUUGAAUAAGAGGAAACUGAGGUUCAGAAAGAUGAAGGAACUUGCUCAAGAUUAUACAUAAAGAGAUCAAGCUAGAUUUAAAAACUAGUUUUCUCACUCCAAAUUCUUUGCUCUAUCCUGUAUCCCUUUUAACAAUGUUUGCAUACUUAAGUCUCCUGAUUAUUUCCAGUAGGAAU